rnacentral:rRNA from 1 species
CCUACGGGAGGCAGCAGUGGGGAAUAUUGGACAAUGGGGGAAACCCUGAUGCAGCGACGCCGCGUGAGUGAAGAAGUACUUAGGUAUGUAAAGCUCUAUCAGCAGGGAAGAAAAUGACGGUACCCGAUUAAGAAGCCCCGGCUAACUACGUGGCAGCAGCCGCGGUUAUACGUCGGGGGGAAGCGUUAUUCGGAUUGACUGGGUGUAAAGGGAGCGUAGGCGGCAGUACAAGUCUGGAGGGAAAUGCCGGGGGUUAACCCCGGAACUGCUUUGGACACUGUGCAGCUUGAGUGCAGGAGAGGUAAGUGGAAUUCCUGGUGUAGCGGUGAAAUGCGUAGAUAUUAGGAGGAACACCAGUGGCGAAGGCGGCUUACUGGACUGUAACUGACGUUGAGGCUCGAAAGCGUGGGGAGCAAACAGGAUUAGAUACCCCUGUAGUC